UUGAGUUAAGAAACACCUCCCUUCUCAUUUGUCACAAGCACGUGCCUAGCACAUUGACUAGUUGCACCUCCUGUGAAUCAGGGAGAGUAUAGUUCGAAUCCGGGCGCGCCCCAUUUCUCCUGCCAAAUACUAACAAGGUACUGAAUAAGAAUCAGAACACUACAAUGAUAAAUGGUAUAGCCAUAUUAAGUAUAGCAUAUAGCAUGGAGCAGGUUAAGCCCAGCGACAACGACUCUGCAUGCUUGGACAGUAUGACUUAUUUUUCUCAUGGUACAGAAUGAAAAUUCAUAUUGUAAAUGGUAGCAUGUGCUCAUGAAAAUCAAACCUAAUUUAGUGGUAGAAGGGGACUUUGAAGCUACUAGUUUCAGCGAAAGACAUGCUCUGGCAAGUCCCGGUUUUGCAACAGUGGUUUCAAUGGAAGAUACACUCUGGCAAAUCUUGACAUCAGGAGGCAACUUGUUUCCAAUAAUGCCCAUUGCUUCAACAUUCAUCAUCUUGGCCUAUUAAAUUGCAAACGAAACCUGUAAAGGAAACAAAAAUCGGCUUAGUAGCAUGCAGAGCUACUCAUAUCAACUUGUGCAUACAUACACAAAACCUCUCUUCUAUGACAAAGCAAAUUAUCAUGCACCAUCCACUUACCAGCACCACACACACACACACACACACACACACACACACACACACACACACACACACACACACACACAUAUAUGUCCAUUUGUGCAGCUUCAUAAACAUUAAUGCCUGCUACAAUAGUGACAAGUACCUACAAAUGCAGUAAUGCAUCUUGAUGCUCGAUGCAAAGCAAUCCAAUGCCAGGAAUAUCAACAUAGAAGCAAUCCAAUACUAGGAAUAUCAAUGACUUGGAUUUCUUCCCUCUUACCUAUCACUUUACAGGAGAACACAAGUAGAGGCACGACGAUUAUUUCCCGAUUAAUAAUCAGACAAUAGCAAUAAGGCAGUCAAUAAUCUACAGGAAGCUAUGCAAAUGAAUAUCUGACUCAAAAUCACACCACCUUAAAUGUUAUAAACAGUAGUAGCCACAAGUGCCCAAGCACAUGACCUAAACUCAAAUAGGUUUCAGAAAGCACCUUAGAUCCAGUAAUAAUAUUGAAAACACGCCACUUUUAAUUUUUCCUAUAUUUCAUUACAAAUCAAGGAGAACAUACACUCAGGUUCAAGAUAUUCAAAUACACGAAGCAGCACACAAACACAUGAUUCAGUUCCUUGCUGUUACAAUGCAAUCUGUUGAACCUAUUUAUACUACCGACAAUUGAUUUGUGUUGAGUGAAAACUACAAACAUGAUGCCAUCAAGUGCUAUCCUCCAUCAGCUCAGGAGGGUGUUGGGUGAUACUACCUCCUUUCUGGUUUAAGGCUUGCGCGUAUCUCUAGGUUGACAUUGUGGAAUCCCCUACCGAUUCUCCUCCUAUUGAAGAACAUGAUCUUUCGGGCUUAUCUUGCAACUGCUCUUGGGGUCUGUACUCGUCCUCAUACCGGUCCCAUGGGAGGAUUGAUGAAAGGUUCUCUCUUUUAUCUAAUAUAAGGAAAUAAUGCUUAGAGUUGCUAUGAUUGGUAUAGAUAUUCCCUCUGAUGGCUUCUUCUCUACAUGGGCCUUAAGAGAAUCAGAAAAUGCUAUAGAAACUAUUAAUAUUAAACAUUUUUCUUCUGAUCCUCCCUCUCUUGUGAAUUGUGAUUCAUGAUAACCAUUUUUUUUAAAGGAGGAUGUACCCCCGGCCUCUGCAUCUAGGUGAUGCAUGCAGCAAUUUUAUUAAUUAUUCACAAAGACCUUACAAAGUAGUACAUCAGUAUGCGUGAAGCCACCAUCUUGGCAACACUUAUUGCUACUCAUAUCCCCUUGAAGAAGGGGUGCCAAAUGUCCGAGCCUAAUAGCAAACAGACAUCGCACCAAAGCCUAACAUCUAAAGCCAGAUGCCCCAGCCUAGGCACAUACCCGGACUGUGUCACACACCGGUCCAGCACACUCACAGUAGGCACCAUAUGCGCACACUGCAAGGCCCGUCACCACCGUCUUCCAUCGAUCCAUCUUCAGAGCAAAUUGACGCAUCGACCGUGCCAGGCCUCUCUGCCAUCGACGCCACCACGACGCCAGACAUCGUCACCCUCCUGCGUGAGUCCAUCGUCGCACAUCAGACACCUAAUCUCCAGGGCGCCUCACCAUCGAGAUCCGUCGCCAUCAAUCUGUAGGAUGAAGCACCGCUCCACCAAAGAUGUCGUCCACUGGUCCCUCGAGUCCGUGUAUACCUCCAGGAAUGACGCCCCCAAGGGGGAAACGAUACAAGCACUCCGCCGUCUUCCGAUCUACCGAUCUAGGGUUUCCCCCGGAGGUAGCAGAUAGUGGUCUAGAACUUCUCCAGGGCGAUGCUUUCAAGAAGGAAACGACCCCGUACAGCGCCGCCAUCGUCGGCCUUGGCAUCUAGCCAAGAUCAAGUUUUCACCCAUAUCUGUUCGAAGAACUCCAUCCAACUUCUUGUGCACGGAUCGCUGCCUUCUCUGUCGAAGACUAGACUAAAAGGAUCCAGUCGCCGCCGCCUGACCGGCCGCGGCACCACCAUGGUGCCAAAGCAGCCAGCUUUGUCAGUCCUGCCACGCCAGCCCGCCGCCGCUUACCAGAUCCGUCGGUCCGCCAAAGCCCAUCUGGGCCCGGCGAGAUCCGAGAUUUCGGCCGCCGCUACAGGGGCGCCUCCCCCGCGGGAAGGCCGCGCUGCCGCUGUCACCGCCGCCAUGUCCACCGUCGGGAUCCGCGACAUCGCGCCAUCGGGUCACCGAAGUCCAUGCUGUCGCCGCCAUGAGAGGACGCCACCGCGCGCGAGGAAAGAAGAACCCGCCGCCGCCGUCACAACCCACAACCCGGGCUUCGCCGGCGUGAACUCAGACGGCGGCGGGAGGGAGAGAUCGGGACGAGGUGCCGAGGGCCGGCGACACGGUCUCCCCCAUGUCGCCUAGGGUUGGCGACACGCAGGUAACCAUGGGGAUGUUGUACCUUUAUGCUAGACCUGGUGAGCUCCUGAGGAUAGGGAUGAUGAUUCUUCCGCUAUUGUGCAAUCUUAGGAAAGGGGGGGGGGGGGCUAUCAAAGAAGUGUAGUUAUUUCCUUGCCCCCAUCUUUUAGCAAAACUGUUCAAAUAAAUAAAUACACUACUACUAGGAGCCAAGGCUGCUGUCAGUUCUGCUCUUCCUCCUUGAAGAUCUAGCAGGCUGAAGAAAUACCCCAAUGGAUAUCAAUGAUAGGACUAUUUUGUAAUUGUAGGCGAUAGGGAACAAAGGUAUGUCUUCCUGUAUUGUGGAUCUUAUUAAAAACCAUUCUUUGAAUUUCCUGGGGCUACAAGAAACUAUGAGGAGAGACUAUGAAUAGUGUUUUUUUUUAGAAAAAAACUGAUCCUGGGAGUGCCUUCUCUUGGGAUUGAAUCCAUUUAUUGGUUAAUGAGGGGGUAUUUUGUGUGGUGUGAGACAAGAUACUGUGGAGGUUUUAAAUGGGAAAAGAGAACAGUAUUCUAUCAUAUUGAAUUUAAGGGAUAAAAAGAAACUUAUUCAUUGGGCUCUGAUCAUUGUCUAUGGAGCUGCUCAUGAGGAGAACAAACCUUAAUUACUUCCUAGCCGAAUUUGCUUCCUUAUGCAAUGAUAUUGACGUUCCCUAUAUUGUGGGUGGUGACUUUAAUAUUUUCAGACAUUGCUAUGAACAAAACAAACAUACUCCUGUAUCUCAUGUUUCUGAUUUGUUUAAUUCCAUCAUUCACACAACCUGAGGGAGAUUUUUAUGGCUAGGGGUAAUUUUACCUGCCCUAAUAAGCAAUCUUUCCCUAUGCUUGAUAAGAGUCCUAGUGUCAACUAGUACUUGGGAAGCUGUGUUUCCUAUGGCACAUGUCAAAAAACUUGCAGAGGCCGGGGAUGUCCUCCUUAAAAAAAAACAUGUCAAAAAACUGGUUCGAGAGCUCUCUGACCAUAAUGCACUCCUCCUUAACAGUGGUGAUGUGCAACCUGUUAAAUCUGGGAACAUAUGUUUCAAAUUUGAUCUGGCCUGGCUCAAACAUGAAAAGAUCCUAAUGGUGUGGAUCCUAUUGAUAUUUUGAAUAUCAAACUGAAGAGUGUUUUAAAAUACCCAAAAGUUUGGGGAUCUAACUUAAGAUGAUCAUAAUAGGGGGGGACGUGGAGCUGCAACUGGAAUUGAAUGAACUAGAGACCCUUAUCUCCUGAAGCCUAUCGAAGCAGAUUAAGGGGUUCGGGUUGUCUUGGAGCUCGAUUUUUUCUUCUUUUUUCUUGAAUGAAACUUGGAGCUCGAUCUUCCAAAGGGAGUACGACAAGGGUAGGGAUGGAUCGUGUACCUGUCGGUCGCUCGACAAACAGCAGGCAGGCAGCAACUCCGGCUGUGCUCCUCCGAUCCACGGGGCCACGGAGGCCCCUUCUCCUGCUACAAUAGUCAACGUAUGCGACGCGGCGGGCGGUGCAUCUCCACUCCACCCUGCCCUGCGCGAGUAGGCUGAAUCCAGCAGCACGCCGAGUCGCCGACGCUGGAGAUGGAUUCAUGGCCGCAGGGCGCCUCAUCGCUCCUGGCACCGGCCUCCCUCGUCUCGUCGGCGGUCGUUGCACGGGAACCCCGGUGCACCGCACAGGAGACGAGACCCGCAGCGGCGGCAAGGACAGCCGGCCUGAUGCAGCCGCCUAUGCUCCUCCGGUACAAAUCGGGUAGUAGUAGAAUCAGACAGCGUUUGGGAGUCCAGACAAGAUGCCUACUGCCAUAGUGGCAUCCAUCCACUUGGUCCUCGCUGGACGCGGCCAGAUCAGAGCCACACGGUCUGGC
rnacentral:lncRNA from 1 species